GCCUACCUAUCUAGUACCCUGGAAGGUAUAUGAUCAAGGGUGUCAGUACAUUUAUUAAACCCUUAUAGAUCCAUUCAAUUCUUCACCCACUUAAGAUGUGGGACUAAAUUAGGGCAUUACAAGUUCAGAAUCAAACCCUUAUAAAUCCAUUCAAUUCUUCAUCAACUUAAUAUGGGAUUAAAUUGGGGCAUUACAAUCCAUCCUCAUCGAGUGUCAGAUGCGGAACAUGUCCAGUGUCAGAUGCUUCUAAUUUAUCAGAGUUUGCACUAACUGAUAUCCUCCUGAAUUAUGUUGAAUCAGAUUGAAGUUUUUUUUUUUAAUUGAUGGUCAAAGUUGCAGAGUUUAUAGCCAAGUGUCUGCUAGGUCAGUGUCCAAACAGCUCAAGAGAAUCAUUUCAUUCAAAACAAGGUUUAUUUUUCAUCAAGCUCUUUUUUUCAUUUUAAUGAGCCAGGCAUUAACAAAUCUAAAUAAAUCAUAAACACCUAGAAGAGAGUAGAAAACAAUAAGGCCUACCUAUCUAGUACCCUGGAAGGUAUAUGAUCAAGGGUGUCAGUACAUUUAUUAAACCCUUAUAGAUCCAUUCAAUUCUUCACCCACUUAAGAUGUGGGACUAAAUUAGGGCAUUACAAGUUCAGAAUCAAACCCUUAUAAAUCCAUUCAAUUCUUCAUCAACUUAAUAUGGGAUUAAAUUGGGGCAUUACAAUCCAUCCUCAUCG
rnacentral:lncRNA from 1 species